CGGGUGAGUAACACGUAUCCAACCUGCCGUCUACUCUUGGACAGCCUUCUGAAAGGAAGAUUAAUACAAGAUGGCAUCAUGAGUCCGCAUGUUCACAUGAUUAAAGAUAUUCCGGUAGACGAUGGGGAUGCGUUCCAUUAGAUAGUAGGCGGGGUAACGGCCCACCUAGUCUUCGAUGGAUAGGGGUUCUGAGAGGAAGGUCCCCCACAUUGGAACUGAGACACGGUCCAA
rnacentral:rRNA from 1 species